GCAACGUCGGCGAAGUCGUUUGGGCUGUCUCUUGAUGUACGAAAUGAUCGCAACCAAGAAGUCAGCCCUUUGCUGCUUGUGUUUUGGCUGUCCAUACUAAAACGAGAAAAGAAAAAGACGAUGGAAAAUUUUAGGCAAGCUCUAAAGGCCGUCUUCGUAAAGGUUAUAUACUAUGAACAGACAUGACUACAAUUCUUCACAGUAUGCUUGCCUUCUUACUCAUUUGCUGGUGCUGGUAAACAAACCCCAUCUGUCAGUGCACCUGCCGACACUUAUCUCACCUGUCCCCAAUGUUUAUGCUUUCCGCAUCCGUGCGCGGAAACAGGUGCAGGACUUCAUGCUUUCAUGCGAUCCGCGUAGUGUCUUCUCAAACAGACUACGGGAGAACGUCCAGCAAAGAUGACAGUAGCUUCACAGUCAAUCCCAUUUUCAGAAUGGAAAGCAUCGAAGAGAUAAAAGCGGAAAAACUUCCUAGAGGCAGCUCAAACGCUGCUCAAAACAUUCAAACCUUUCAAACCAUCUAGCGAAGCGCGCAAUUGGUCAGAUUGGUCAGGUGACCGUGCCGUAGCAAGGUGACCGUGGCGUGGCCAGGUUGUAAGCAAACAAAAUCAAGCGUUAUCAUGUUUUGCUUUUGGCAAUCGGAAAACACAAUGCGUAAGAGAAGGUUUGACAAAAUACAAACAUAUCACAACGCUUAUGACGCUUAUGAAGGCUCAAGAGAUGUGGCAGCAUCGCCAAAAAUCAAAAAUAAAACUUAGUUUCACUUGGCUUGGCAUGGCUUGAAUUUUGGCGAGUCUACUAUAGCCUAUAGCAGAGUCGAUAGCCCUUUGGAGUUGUCUUCCCAAAUGAUUCAACGUUUUCACGCACGUGCUCUGCAUGGCGUGUGUUGUGUUUUAAAACCUAUCACCGGAAGGACCGAGCGAUCCCAUGUAGAAUGGUGAAAUGCAGUUUGCGACAACCGCAAAAUGUACGGUCGCAUUGUGUAUAUGCCUUCGUGUAGCUACGCUGUAGCCUGUCACGCAGCAUCAAACGUUAUCGUGAGUGAUUUUGUGUUUCCUUUACAAGACUCUGUCCGUUGAAUACCUCCAGCAAUAAGCAACCGAAGACCAGAGGGACACGGAUCUUCAAAAAGCACGAAAGAAGUGCUUGGAACGUCUCGAAUAUGCCAUGGAGGUACCAUCAGAUGUAGAGCACAACUUCACCGAAUUCGACGGAGCGUAUUUUCAGACAUUCAACCUAUUUAAACCCAGAUUGAAAAAGCGUGAAAAAGAGAACCACGGAGCAGGGAACUGUGGUGACGCUGAGCGCCCAGCAAAAAAGGGUACAAAGCACAAGAAACAACACCCAGGGACUCAAGGUGACAUCGGCGUAGAAUAUUCGAAAAGAAAGAACCCCAAAGAAUACCACGAAGCACAAGACGAUGAAAACGUCUCAGAAACAGAGAUCUCUGGGAAGAAGAAAAAAGGCCAGAAGAAAGAUUACACAGGUAUCCCUGUAUUGGGGGAGCAAGACGCCAGCGUGGAGCACCGCAAAGAAGCGACAGAUAAGUUUAAAAGUUCCGAAGGGAACAUUCACACACCAGUGCUCGAACACGAAGCAUGUCAGGCCGAACAUUCUAAGCCUCAUAAGAGAAAGAAGCACGACGUAAACAGUGUGAAUGAACCAUCUGUGUGUGAACGUGGGGUAAGCGCACCGUGCUCGCAAGACGAUAUCGCGUUUCUUUUUUCUAGAGAAGGGACGCAACACUCCGAGUCGCUUUUAAUGCCGAAGCACAGGAAAAGGAAAAAGCAUUGUCACAGUGGAAAGGGUGAUGUGCAGCAAAUCCCUCUCUUUGCUUUGGGUGAUGAGGUUUCAGAGACGAAAAUCGGGAACGAUACUUGUGUCCCUGAAAGCACGCUGGGCUUCUCCGUCCCAAAUAUCCUCGAUGAUGUCGACGUUUCUUCGAGCCACGAAUGCAGUGCAACCGGGCUGCGAAACGAACCACUGCAAAUAAAUUUUGAAAGCAUGCCAACGCCAAGUCCGGUACAAGAGGGCGCAUCCACAUCGGAAUCUACGCUUUACCAUCGUAGCAGCGAAAAGCUGGAAAGCAUUCUUGGUGACCGAAGCAUGUCGCAGUUACAUUCCAGUUGUAGCCAUGCUUCUGGCAGUGAAAAAAGUGACGCGUCUGUCAUCCACGGAACCAAGCAUAAAAGGAAGAGGCGCGGACGUGGCGAGACAUUCGACGGUGGUUCUGCAGAUUUGGAAGACGUUCUUUCCUUCCGAGGCUGUACAUACGACGCAGAACAAAACGACAGCAGUAUUAGCGUCAGUGGAAAUAACGCGGUUUACGGUUCGUCCCAGGGUUUUAUCGUGUCCUCUGGGGGCUUCGAUGUGGACGUAUCGCCUUUUAAGCACCCGGACGAUCCUAAGCCAGGAGAGGUGAUAUUGCGCACCCAUAACAAGCUGCAGCAUCUCGAUUUGUCCUGCAAGGAAGUUUCUGUCGGGACGUUUUCGUCGGAACAUUCCUCGCCUUCGUCCGGUUGGAGUAGACACGUCGGCGGAAAAACGUGCGCUCGCAGAGACAAUUCGCUAAGCCUGGAUUUGAGUGAAAAGUUUGACGUUACCAGCAAGCAAAGUAGCGUAGCUGCGUACCCGCGAGAGUCUUCUGGCGCAGCGGAACGUGUCGGGGAACAGCAAAGAGAGGAAAAGGAACCCGGAAAGGUGCCGCUCGGCUAUCGGAGUCCCUCAAUCCAAGGCACGCGUUCGGGCGAAUCGGAGGACGUCGACUUGUUUGCGGAUAUUUUGUCACCGCCAAUUCUUUCUCCUCGUAAGCCAAAGAAAAAGAAGUACAGAGUGUGUGAUGGCGUUGGGCCUGCAGUAGAGCUUAACCCACACGGAGAUGGUUUGGCUGGGAAGCAAUGUUCAUAUGCAGAGGACAAUGAAGGAGAUCUUGACGCAGAAAAGCGGGAUGGCAACUGGCCCACGACUGAGUCUAGCCUGCGAAAAGAUUCCUUGACUCAUCAUCAUCCCAAGAAGAAAAGUAAAAAACACAAAAAACGGUUGAGCUUGGACAAGGAAUGUCCUAUCUUACAAGAGGAUAAAGGAGAACGAUGUUUGUAUGCUGAGGACAACGAUGGAGGUCUUGAAGCAGAAAAGUGUGAUGGCAACUGGCCCACGAUAGAGUUUAGCCUACAAAAAGACCCCUUGACUCGUCAGUGUCCAAAGAAAAAAAGUAAAAAGCACAAAAAAAGGUCUAGCUCUAACGAGGAAUGUCCUAUUUUACAAGAGGAUAAAGGAGAACAAUGUUUGUAUGCUGAGCACAACGAAGGAGGUCUUGAGGCAGAAAAGUGUGAUGGCAACUGGCCCACAGCUGAGUUUAGCCUGCAAAAAGAUUCCUUGACUAGUCAGCGUCCCAAGAAGAAAACUAAAAAGCACAAAAAACAGUCUAGCUUGAAUGAGGAAUGCCCUAUUUUACAAGAAGAUAAAGGAAAACAAUGUUCUUAUUCAGAGGACAACAAAGGAGGUCCUUGAGACAGAAAAGUGUGAUGGCGACUGGCCCACAAUUGAGUUUAGCUCGCAAAAGCAUUCCUUGACUCAUCAGCGUCCCAAGAAGAAAAGUAAAAAGCACAAAAAGAAGUCUAGCUUUAAUGAGGAAUGUCCUGUUUUACAAGAGGAUAAAGGAGAACAAUGUUUGUAUGCUGAGCACAACGAAGGAGGUCUUGAGGCAGAAAAGUGUGAUGGCAACUGGCCCACAGCUGAGUUUUAGCCUGCAAAAAGAUUCCUUGACUAGUCAGCGUCCCAAGAAGAAAACUAAAAAGCGCAAAAAACAGUCUAGCUUGAAUGAGGAAUGCCCUAUUUUACAAGAAGAUAAAGGAAAACAAUGUUCUUAUUCAGAGGACAACAAAGGAGGUCUUGAGACAGAAAAGUGUGAUGGCGACUGGCCCACAUUGAGUUUAGCUCGCAAAAGCAUUCCUUGACUCAUCAGCGUCCCAAGAAGAAAAGUAAAAAGCACAAAAAGAAGUCUAGCUUUAAUGAGGAAUGUCCUGUUUUACAAGAGGAUAAAGAAAAGCAAUGUUCGUAUGCAGAGGUCAACGAAAGAGGUCGUGAUGCAGAAAAGUGUGAUGGCAACUUGCCCACGACUGAGUUUAGCCUCCAGAAAGAUUCCUUGGCUCAUCAGCAUCCCAAGAAAAAAAGCAAGAAGCACAAAAAACGGUCUAGCAUGAAUAAGGAACGUUCUAUACUACAAGAGGAUAAAGGAAAACAAUGUUCAUAUGCAGAGCAAAAUAAAGGAGGUCUUGACACAGAAAAGCAUUAUGGCAACUCGCCCACAGUUGAGUUUAUUCUGCAAAAGGAUUCCUUGACUCCUCAGCAUUUCAAGAAAAAAAGUAAAAAGCACAAAAAACGGUCUACCAUGAACAAGGAACAUUCUAUUUUACAAGAGGAAAAAGGAAAACAAUGUUCAUAUGCAGGAGACAACGAAGGAGGUCUUGACGCAGAAAAGUGUGAUGGCAACCAGCCAACAAUUGAGUUUAGCCUGCUAAAGGAUUCUUCAAUUCAUCAACAUCCUAAGAAAAAAAGUAAAAAGCACAAAAAGCAGUCUAGCUUUACCGAGGGAAGUCCUAUAGUACAAGAGGAUAAACAAGAACAUUGCUCAUAUGCAGAGGAAAAUGAAGGAGGUCUUGACGCAGAAGCACACUCGGGGAUUCCCGAAGAUAGCGUCAAGACCCAGAACUGGUCAUGCAGGUACUGUCUCAGUACUUUGGCAAAAAUUUGGACGGUAGCGAUGUUCCAAAUGAAUGUCCCAAGGAACAUAAAAGGAAGUCACAAAAGAAGCACCGUAAAGACUCCGCGGAGAAGAAAACUCCCACUCUGCAGCCCUCACUGCAACCCCAGAGCCAGCAACGCACCAUUGCCAAGAGUGACAACGGCACAGUCUCUAGUCAGCGUCGCAAGAAAAGCCAAGAAAAGCCUCACGGAAGUCACCAGAAGGAUGAUAGAGGGGAGAAGUUGUCUGCCGACCAUACAGCACAAAAUGCGUUGUGUUCCGAGUUGUCGACUCAUGACAGCAGUGCUCCGAGUCCCCGUGAGGCGCAAAGCCCGAAAAACUCUGUGGAACCCCGCCAGACUGCCAGUAGAAAGACGGCGCUGCCGACUGAACGAUCAGCACAAGCUCCAGAGCCCUUGAUGAAUGAUUCCGAUGCAGCACUCUUUUCUGAGGAUGACAGUUCGAACGAAGAGGUAUCUUGGGCGUUGCUCAACUCAAACAAAGGUUCACUCAAAGAUAGCAGCAGCCAUGAUGCUGACCUAUCACAUGUCCCACGAUGAGCGACCAGGAUCCCCUGUGGACCACAGUUUUAU